rnacentral:lncRNA from 1 species
GGGAGUUCCCAGGGUCUGCUCUUCCACUGGGGAGUGGAAGAGAGAUAUCCUGUUCAAGGCUGGUUCAGCCACCAGCUAGAUUCAGGAGCCCUGACUCCUGAUGGAAUGGUGAACCAGGGUGGAAACCAGGACAUGAAAUAAGGCUGCAGAAACUACGUGCUGAAAGGAAUAUAGUUGUGUGGGGAAUCUAGUAUGUCAACAUCACCAGUGUAGCGUUUACUGCAUGGGACAAGUCCAUCUGCAAGAUGCAGAAAUGAGCAUUGAUCUGGGGGAAUUUGAUCAGCAAUAAUCAAUCCCUCUAGCCACAGGAACUGGUGCCUGAUAAUAACAUAAUGCAAAGCAAGGCAAUAAGCCUCUAGCAAGCCUACUGACUUGACUUGGAAAAUCUGUGGAGUUUUGACUCACUAUCAGCUACAGCUGGAGCAGUGUGCAGCGUGAUGCAUGUGCUCAGUGCACGGCUGCUUAAAUGAGAGGACACACACAUCAACUCCCCUUAUACAGAGGAGGAAAAGGAGCUUUGUAAAAGGACAUGGCAGUAAACCUCCCGUCUGAGCCUGUAGCUCAUGCCUUUGCAUGUUUCAGCAAGAAUGAAGAAUAUCAGUCAAGAGUUUCCACAUCACGCCUGCCAGGGCUAUACCCUGGGUAUUUACAGAGUCGAGGACACUGAGACCAAUAUAACAGGUAGAUUGACUGUGAUAGAAAAGACGCCUCAAAUACAAUUUAUUCAAGUCUAAGAAAUGAAAUCUCAUUCAGUUUCAGGCCUCAUCAACAGCAGGGAGAACCACAAAUCACAAACUUCUUUUGCACUGGGAAAGGUGUUGCCAUGGGAACAGGGCUGCUGGCCAUUUGGCCAUCUCACUCAUCUCUAGAGGAAGGCAGGUGAGGAAGGUGAGAGUCACAGUCAGGUAGGAAGGCCUGCGAUAAGAUCCAAGGAAGAUGGGGGAUGUACUUCUACCAUGUGUCAUGUUGGUAGCAAAUGCAGUAAGAAUAAAAUGUCACCAUCUGA